CUAGAAUCAUAUAAUUAUCUCAAACCUCAAGAAGGAUCAAGAUAAUUUACUCAAUAAAUAAAUACAUCAUCAUGUUUUGAUGAUGCAGCAUGAUUUUUAUUCGAUUUCAACAUUAUACAAGAGUUGUUUGUAGGCUAGGGCUUCAAAGGUUUGGAUUAAGUGUGACAAUAUUCAUGAUCAAACUCAAAACAUAUUUGUAAGAUGCAAAUCUGAACAUAAACCCAAUUAAAAAUUUAUAUAUGCACCCAAUAUUUAAUCCAAGAAAGGUCGGUGAGGUUUGAGGUAAAAAAGAAAUAUUUAACAAGUUAUUUUGUAAUACUUUUGAAUUAUCUUUAAUCAAGGGUAGAAAUAUAAUUAUCAAAUCAUUUAUUUAAAUAUUCAUAAAAUUAAAAAAUAAAG
rnacentral:lncRNA from 1 species